GGAUGUGAGGGCAAUCUGGCUGUGACAUCUGUCACCCCAUUGAUCGCCAAGGUUGAUUCAGCUGACCUGGCUGGCUAGGCGGGUGUCCCCUCCCCCCCUCACCACUCCAUUGUGCGUCCCUCCCAAAGCUGAAAAGGACAGCCUUUCCCGAAUAGAGACAGACUGGUCUUCGGUAGAGGGUAUACAAGUAGCUGCGCUCCCCUACUAGAACCUCCAAACAAGCUCUCAAAUGUAUGAGUUAAGCCUAUAAAACUUGAGGCUGGGGAGACAAUAGCGCAAGUAGCUAAGCUAUAUACC
rnacentral:snRNA from 1 species